rnacentral:lncRNA from 1 species
UAGACGCAUGCAUGGAGUAUUAAAUAUAGACGAAAAUAAAAAUUAAUUGUACAAUUUGGUCAGAAUUGACGAGACGAAUCUUUUGAGCCUAGUUAGUCCAUAAUUGGACAAUAUUUGUCAAAUACAAACGAAACUGCUACAGUGUCGAUUUUCCAAAAUUUUUCGGAACUGAAAAAGGCCUAGUAUACCUAGGCAGCAGUCCAUCGAACACCAGUUGAACAUCCAAUUAAUGGAGCAGAUGCGUGGACUGACUUGUAGAGAGGCCAUUGGAAUGAUACGC